UCAUCUUCACAAUAAACAGUCUGAAAUUUGGGAAGCAGAGUCCAUCUCGACUGCAUUUGAGCACCAAGAAUCAUCGAUGUAAAUCACAGAGUCCACCUCCUCUCAUCUUGGGUCUUGUGCUGACGUUUUGGAACAUGGACCACCUGAUCCGGGUGCUUGAUGGGGCAGGUCUCUGUAACGUAGUAACUGUCACCCAGAUCUCCAUUUAUCACUUUUUCAGCAAAGCAAAAAACUGAAGAGGCCUCAUAGCUGUCAACAAACAGCAACAUCUGGAUUUGAUCUCAUAAGGCCUGAGGAGUUUGACUAAUCACCAGAGUAAGGAGCAGUGGGCAGCCGCUGUGCAGCACCCAGGGACCACCACCAGAUCUUGAUCAGUGUCUGGUCAAUGGCACUGACUGAAGAACUAACAUGUUUUUGAUGGUGG